UACGGAGGGUGCAAGCGUUAUUCGGAAUUACUGGGCGUAAAGCGCGUGUAGGCGGGAAGGCAAGUCUGAUGUGAAAGCCCCGGGCUUAACCUGGGAACUGCAUUCAGGACUGGGAAACUCGGGUCUGGGAGAGGGUGGUGGAAUUUCCGGUGUAGCGGUGAAAUGCGUAGAUAUCGGAAGGAACAUCAGUGGCGAAGGCGACCGCCUGGCCUAAGACUGACACUGAGGCACGAAAGCGUGGGGAGCAAACAGGAUUAGAAA
rnacentral:rRNA from 1 species